UAAAACAAAGCAUUGCGAUGGUCCC
rnacentral:snRNA from 1 species